GCGUCUCUAUUACAAACCUCCUAUCAUUUAAUAACUUUGUGGUUGAGCUUGUUGGGUCUGCUAAAUUAACUGUUCUACCUAAAAGCUUUCCAAAUGUAACAGCCGGCCAGUAGAACGCAUAAUGUUUUCUCAUCAAAGCAGUACUGAAUUUUAACCAACUUAACCCCUUUAAGCCUCUCAUAGGCCCGAGGUCUGUUGUGUGGUGGGUGCUGUCUACCACAGCGUCUGAGAAAUGACGGUCCCCUAAAGUUCCGCAGAACUUUCCUACCAGGGGCAUUCUCACGGAAGAAAAUCCUGAACACCUGUCACUCAGAUAUGUACCCAAACUUGAGCUUGCCGGUGACCUGUGUCCUCAACAUCCAGCAGCCCUGAGUCCAACUGCCAUUCAGGGAAGGAUUUUACAGAGAUACUACCUUCCCAAGAUACUAUCCCGACUCCCACCCGUCCAUCUCCAACUUCCUUUUCUGAGGGAUCUCUCCACGGAAAAGAACAAGAAAAGCACUCAUAGAGUGGAUGAAAUGCUAUAGGGUGAUCUACAGAAUAAAUACAGCAAAACAGAACCUCUGUGGUCCUGAGUCAGAGGAGACGCAUUCAGACCCCAGCGAGUGCACAUUCUCAGGACUUGAUGGACAAAGACAGGUGUUUAAUGUAUUGAAGCAGAACCGUGUAACAAGAAAAGAUAAACACACUGUGCUAACCGUUGCUUGUCACAGUUUCAUGGUUUGACUGUGUUGAUCACUAAAAAGAGGAUUCUUGGGAUGGGGCAUCCGUAAA